AGUUGUUGUUUCUGUUGUUUUGCGAAAUUUGCAUCGUUGAGUCUAGAUAGUUCAAAAAGAUUUUCGAAAAAUUUAGUUUGUGCAUUUUCAAAAAAAGUGAACACAACAAUAAAAUGGGUCGGAGGCCGCGUCAUUACUGCUUAAUGCAGCAUUGGCGCGAUACAAUAAACAAAAAAAUACACAAAAAAGGCAAAAAUGUCGUACGGAAAGAAAGCUUCCGGUAGCCGAUUUCUAACAACAGAUACGAAUGAAAUUGAUACAACACAUAUACUAAAAGUACAAGGUAACGACCCGCGAAUUGAAAACUGCUCCCUUGAUACAAUUGACAGCAUGGAAAUAACUGAUAAUGACGAAAAUGACAAUUCCUUCGAUAGUCCUGGAGAUGAAAAUGCAUCUUCCAUUAAUUUAGAAGUUGAUCAGUCCUCAGUUGAACUUGAAAUGGUUGGGUACUGUUGACAGAGAAAAUUGUGACAAAUCUUAGUGUUCCAUGGACGAGGCUAGAAGAUACACACCACAUAUUGUUACCAAAAAUUUAUUGUUUGGAAUUUGCUCCAAUCAUCUACAACAGGCUAUUUUUAAACUGCAUUAGAGAUGUAGUGUGCCUUUUAAUGUAUUAUUACUUGGCAUAACAGAUGACAACGUAUAUUGCAUGCUGUUGAAUGAAUGGAGAUAAUAACCUUCAUUAGUUUUUAAAUCUAAGUCGUUUUCAAUAUUACAGGAAAAUGAACACAGUUUUGUAGAAUUUGCCAACAAAUUGCAUCCAAACGAUAUUUUCUUCAUGAUACUUCAUUUUUACAUUAAGCAUAAACUCACCCAGAAUGCUUUAGCGGAUUUAUUGAGCAUGCUCAACGCAUUGGCAAAACGAACGCCGUUUCCACAAUCUUUCACAUCGUUUGCAAAACAGUUUCCGGAUCCGUGCAAAAUGGAAAGAAACUAUUUUUGUGUAAAUUGUCAGUUCGGGUGCACUAUGGAAUUUUUCGCUCUUCCCUUAUGAAAAUGGCAACGGAAUGUUUAUAGGUUAUCAUACAUCAAAUAACCAUCCAGUGCUUCAAUUGGCAACUAAGUUUUUUUUAAUAAUAUUGUUCAUCACACGUGUGUACCAAUUAGCUCUCCAAUUUACCAAUGGACAGAGAGAUUAUGGAAUUUACCAGCAAAAUCCAUUCAAUUUGAUCCUUCCUUAAGAGCUUCACUUGAGGAUGAUAUUACUGCUGAUGACACGAUUAGUGAAUCAGAUUCUAACGAUAUAGGAAAAUGUUAUUAUGAAGGAAUUAAGAUAUAUGGGAAAAAAGAAUGUCAAAAAUUUGCAUAUGAUGAUUCCUAUAUAUUUCUCAAUGGUUCUUUCUACAACGUGCUACGCGUUUUUAUUGAUAGAGCAGGACAAUUGUACAUUGUAGGUGAGAAGAUGACUGUUCGGAAACUUUUUGAAAAUAUAUUUCUCUAUGUACUUUCAAAGAAUAUCAUGUUAUUAUAGCUCAAUGAAACAGUUCGACAAUGUGUAAGUGUGACAGUGGAAACUUCAGAAGGAAUUUUAAGAAUCUAUGUAUCUAUUUGCAAGAUUCGAACACAAAUAGACUAAACCCAACAAAAUUUUUGAAAAUGAAAAAAAAAGGUGUUUUAGAAAAAAAAAACAAAACUGGUAGAAAUUGAUUUGGAAUUGGAUGAAAAUAUCUCGUAAAACACAUAUUUCACUUUUAAUCACCUUUAUCACAGAAUUUGAUAUCAUAUCUUAUCAAGAUAUAUUCAUGUUAAUGAUGAUCAAUUAUCAAAACAAAAUCAGAUCAGGUUGUGUUACUUGUAUCUCACGUAGAUAGGACUUUGUUUUAAGUUUGUUAUGCUCUUCUGGUCGGGAAUAUCAGUGAAGUGAGAACGGAAAAAGCGACGUUUCGCUUGUAAUUAUUUCACGACCAUUUUGAACGGUGAAAUGAUUCCACGAAGGUGCCAUAAGUCUUAAAGUUGAUUGAUUUGUGAUCUAAUGAUAAAUAUUGGACUUAUUCUUCAGUAACGAAACGAAUCAGAAUUUGAUCCGUGCCUUAAAGCGGUAAAAUUUUCAUUUUUUUUGCCCGAUGAAAGAAAUGCAAACUAGUUCAGGAAAUUUUCGAUUCCGAAAAAAAAACAUUUUUUUGAUGCCGAAUGUCUUAGAAAUGCAGAACACGUCAAGAUCUGGUGUUAUCUAAAAAACGGAAAAAACGACUUUCUUGCACUUAGAGAUUUUCGAGCUGGGAAACAAUCUCAUUUCACUUGUCCUAUUCUCAAUUUCACUUCACUGUCAAUAUCACUCAACGGAGGUGAUUUUUGUCACCUCACUUGAGGUGGAAUCGGGAAUAGGUCUAAAAAAGUGAAGUUAGCGUGAGAGUGAAAUAUAUUUCACCGUGAAGUGACUCACGUAAUAAGCACCAUUGUUAAAAUCAGUCAUGCCAUCUUUGGCAAAACGAGGGAAUUUAAAAAAGUGUCCUGAACAUGUUCUUUUCAUACACUUCGAACUACAUGUUUAAUCACCAUAAAAUUCGUUAUUUAGGGGUUUUGAAGACAGUCCGUUCAUUUGAAACCAAUUUUGUUCAAAUCGGUUGUGUAGUUUCUGAGAUAAUGGAGUUUCAUAACUUUUACAUUUUGAUACAUAACAGACAA